rnacentral:siRNA from 1 species
UCAACCUGCACAACACCAUACC